CUUAACUGGAGCUGAGCUGCUGAAGACACUGUAGAAGUCAGUCCCAAAGCCACUGAAGAGGUGCCGCCUCAACUGGGUCUGGAAUCAGCGUGGGCUGCCAGAUUCUGAAAUAAUCUGAAUGAAAACACUAGCAGUCUCCAGCAACUGCCUCUCUGUUAAAAUCAGAAGCAGGAGGCCACUCUCAUCUUCCUGCCUUCUGAUCUCUCUCCAGUGUCUCCUAUUAGUAGAAUUGACCAGAAAAUCAGCAAGUGAAGGAAGCUGAGAAACAGAGUCUGCAGAUCCCCAGCCCUGCAGAGCAGAGUGGAGAAAGGCGGGUCUGGGUUGGAGAGAUGACAGGCAAAUAUCCAGGACACUCAUACAGCUGGAAAGUGAUUCGUAAUUCGGAGGCCUGAAAACUGGUCCUGACCUGAAACUUGCCUGAAAAUUCGUCGUCUGAUUCCAGCUCUUUAUUAAACUUUGCGUAUGAUCUUUCAAAAGAGAGGAGAAAUGCUCCAUAUUGAUACCAGUUCUCUGCUUCAACCCAAGAAAUCAAAGACAAAGGAGGGACAUUAAGGAGGGUAAAUUUUCUAUUACAGUAUUUUCUUGAGAUGGUUUCCAGGUUAGCUAGACAUUCUUUCUAAAUUGCAACCUUGGUCCUCUAUUUCUUUGUUAGCAUCAUGGCUGAGAAGUGAGUUUAUCUUGAGAAGACCUGUUACCUGAUAAGGGAAGGACAGGAAGGAAUAUUCUGGUCUGUCUUCAUCCUGACGUUGCUGCCACAUAAGGAUCAUGGAUGUGAAAAGCAGACUAUAGUAAGAAAGGGUGAUUCUAUAUCUCAGGACCAUGAGAAUAUUUUCUAGAAAUAGAGUAUGGGACAUGGCCAACUGUGAGGCAUUUUUCUCAACUUUACAUCCUUACUAAAAAACUUAAUGCUACCCAUUACCUACUAAAUUAACCUAGAACCCAUGGCGUGGAGUUUAAGGCCAGUGAACAACUGAUCAUGUUCUUUUCCAAUCUGGUCUACCAUUACACCAAACUCCUGCCUGCUCCAGCUUUCAGAUGUUUGUUAAACAAACAAUCCUUUUUAAGAAAACUAAACAUUGUACGGAGCUGUAAAACACAGGACAGAUAAAGGCAGGAUUGUCUGGUUAGAAAUGAUGGAGGAUCCAGAACCUGAAUGCCUUGUCUUCUUUGUGCCCUGGCCAUGGAGGCAUCUCGUCCAAAGCCCAGAUUGCUCUGGCGCUUCUAAAUGUUCCAUCUUUCCCUAAGUCUUUCACUCUGUCCUAUUGCUCAGUUGGAUGUUUUUGCUUGGCUUGCCCUUCUUCUCUAGCCCUUCCUAUUCAAACACAUCUCCAGCCUAAAUUCUACCUCUUCCAGUAAGCUCUUCAUGAUUUGCCCCUACUUGAAACCAAUCUAGACUUCCUCUGCUUUGCCAGAGCACUUGUGUUUCCAAUGGUUGUAUUCAGGGAAGGUUGCCCUACUCCUUUGCAAACUGUCUUGAAGUCAGGGACUUUUUCCACCUUAGCAUCUUCCUCAUGUCCUGCACAUAUUAAGUACUCAAUGAUGAAUUACUUUAUAAAAGAGGAGAACAUUUACCCUUAUAUAGGUUAUUGAUGGUUCUCCUCAGACAGGACAAGAUUUUCCAAAUUUUCUUCCCUAUUUCCACCAUGUGAAAUGACUUCUUCCUGCUAGGCUCUGCUCAAAUGCCGCAUCAUAAAUAAAAUUUUUCUUGAAUCUUCCUAGAUGAAAGUAAUGUCAAGUUCCCCUGAAGGCACAGUAGCACACUUUCUGUCCCUCUCUGAGGACACUGGGCUUUCUAUCACAUAUUAUACGGCCACACACAUGCUUGUUAUACACAGUUGUAAGUUACUUAAGAAAGGAUCCAUGUUCUAGAACUGUAGGAGUAUCAGAUCUUCAGUGAGACAAAGAAGGUUUCAAACCCAGGCCAUACCAGUUAAUAUCUGGGUGACGUUGAGCAAAGGACUUGACGUCUUUGAAUCUUCGUUUCCUCAUCGUAAAAUGAGUCUGAUAACAUCUCUUUCAGAGACUUUUUAGGUGAAAAUUACAUUUGAUAAGAUCAAAGAAGCUUAUAAACGUUGGGUAUUCAAAAUUAUAAAUCCCAUCUCCCAGAUUUAUCUUUGAGACUUCUCCGGAACUUAACAUGGUCCCUUGUAUAAAGUAUAUGCUCAAUUAAUUUUUGUUUGCUUGCUGAAUUGAAUUAGGCUAGUGGAAUUACUAUUCCGGGAAGUGUUGGUGAGAGUUAUGUGGAAAAAAAUGGUUCUGUUGCCAAGGGGAUUGGGAAGCAUCAAGUUGUCUCUGAAUGCAUUUUUAAAAACAGGAUUAAAAAACCCUUUCAAUAUUCAAGUGUGCAUCAUUUGGCUAUGUAUCUCUUCACAGAGAAUCUCACAGGACUAGUGUUCGUUGCAGGAGAGGUUGGGAAAUAUAGAAAUAGGUUCCUGGCCCUAGAAGGGUCGGGGAGGAAAGCCAGCCUGCCCUCAGAGUGUCUUUCUUGCCUAAGACUGACUGGCAGGUUCUGCAGAGACUCUGCAGUUGGCAUUUCCUAGGUAGAUUCAUCGUGGCCCACAGUCUGAUCUUGUAAGCUCUUGAAGGUAGCUUAUCAGCCAAAGGAUGUGGACUUUCUCUCGGGGACCGACUCACAUCAACCAAGUUUAGAGAUUUAUGAAUAAACGUUAAUCUGAAUUUCUUAAUUUGCCACGAGCAGUCUUCUUUCAGGUGGAAUGUACCAUAUGAACUGGCCCAAUUCAUAUUUUUUUUUCCCUCAUAAACUCAUCUAUAGAGAAAGUCAAACUCUAAUUGGAAGGCUUGUUGGUAAGCCUGAAUCAGAAAAAGCAGGGAAUUACUGAACUGAUUCAGCUAGACCUUCCAUCCAGCACUCCUUCCCUCUCUCCUGCUCAUCUACGCAUUCAACAAGUACUUCUUGAAAACCAACCAAGUGAGACAGUACAGCAGCCAGCUCUGGGGUGAAACAUCCUACUUUUCAAUAAUGGAUUUUCUGCUUGCUAGUCACAUGACCUUGGGGAAGUCACUUAACUUCUUAUUGCUGCAGUGUCCUCCUGUGUAAUAGCACCUACUCCAAGGGGGUUAAAGAAAUUACCAUAUGCAGAUGACUUACUACCUGACACCGAUGGUUUGCAUACCUCUUUAACAUGCACAUAGGAUAGAUAGGCUGUGCUUUCUAGUUUUUUUUUUGCACAUUGGGAAAUUGAGUUUCAAAGUGAUUAACUGCUCUGCCCUAGGUCACACCCAGUUAAUAAGUAGCAGAGUUUGUUCAAGACCAAGUAGUAAAACCUACUAUUUAUUUUAGAAAACCAUGAAUUUUUGGCAGCCUCGGGGAAGAAAUAAAACAUAAUAGUUUUGUGGGCUCUCAUUUCCCUUUUAAAAAAUUCUAAGCCUUUAGAAAUAAAGGGUGGACACUAGUUUCUUUGUUUAUCGUCAACUUUUGAUUGAUUUUGUCGUUUUCCAUAUUUCUCUGCUGUAAUUUCGGCCUCCCUCAAAUGAUGCCCAAACAAAUGAGAUCAAUUUUCGUCUGAAAUAUUUUUUUUAAAGAAAUUAUAGUCAUCCCAGACUCAUGUUCUUAGGGAGGGAACAGUACAUUUGGCAAUUUCCAUUGCUUCUGGUUGUGAUCAGAUUGAAUUUUAGGCAGUCGUCUUCAAGCUAUGCCCUAAUUAAGAUGAACAGAUAUUGUUAGCAGGCCUGUUUAAUCGGUUUCCCAUCUGGCAUAAUCAUGUUUAUGAGCAAGAUCUGCUCUUUCUUGGCUUGGGCAAUGGCUAAAAUCAACCAAACAAGGCAAUCAUGGCCGCUGAGGUAAAAACCAGGGCCCACUCUUCACCCCUAAUCCUACCUGGGAAAUCACAAUUUCAAACCUGCAGGACAAGCGUAUGGGAUACUUGCACUGCUGGAGCCCCGUUAGGUUCAUGGCAUCCAUCCAUCCAUCUAUAUUAUGCUUAUUUCCAUCCAUUCCACUCCAGUAAACAUUCUCUGAGCCCUUCAUAUGUGCUGGGCUCUCUAUGACCCAGGGCAUACUAUUAUGAAAAAGAAAGUAUUCCUGCUCUCAAGAGCUCCUGAUAUAAUAGAUAAAGUCUCAAAAACAUAAGGACUUAAGAAAUAAAGCCUAGUGCUAUUUAGGGAAGAGUGGAGUAGGAAAAGAUCUUGCAUUGAAAAUAAUUGCCUGUUCAGUUUUGCAUUCUGUCUCUGAGAAUGGUGAUUGUGCCAAAGGAGAGUGUGAAAGCUGACCUUUGUUACACUGUUUCCCCAAAGGAACAUGCCUCUGAUAAAUUAUUUGUAUCUCUAUGAUGGAUGAUGCUCUAUCGAUCUCCUGACUAAACAAAGGGCAGACGACACUGGGAGAGAGAUUUCAAGUUAACACAAGUGUGAGUGAACUGAUAUCGCUACUUUCUAUCAGGAGAACAAUUUGUGGAUGAGAAAAAUAUGUCUUUGGGGGUGGUGCCACUUAUUGCCUGUAGUCCACUCAGAUCUCAGCCAAUAUGGUAGCUCUUGUAAUGUAAACAGAUACAGGAAAGAUGCUAAAAUGCUCCUCCGUCCAAGAAUGCCCAUAACGUUAUAUUUCACAAGGGGUUUAGUCAACGUUGUGUUAAUAGGAGAUUUAUGAGACUAGACUAUGUUGUUUUAGGAAGAAAAAUGAAUAGUUGCUAAGGCGAGGUGUGCAUGCCCUUGGGAAAUUCCAUGUUACACUGGCUACAGCCCUUACUGGAGGAAAGAAUGAAAUAGAAUAGGAGUUCUCACCUUCUUUCUCUCGUUUCAGGAUCUGAGCCUUCCCUGCUCCCUGUAAGCUUGUGAAGCUUGGGCAGAGGGAAGCCUCCAUUAGCAUCUGGGCAGAGCCCAGGAGUCUAGAUUUCCUUUCUUAAGUAAAGAGGGCUGGAGUCUCAGCCGGGAAUGGGAUAGUGACACCCAUAUGGGGAGACUUGAGGUGUGGCUGCAGGAGGAAAGAGAAGAACAGGGAGCAGUAAGAGGGCCACUGAGAAGAAGGGAGAUGAGGAGCUAGGGAGUGUUUACAUGCACAACCAACAAAGACCCUAACUGUAAGCCCUCCUCUGAAGGGCACAAGUGAUUCAGAGCAAGUUACCACCUCCCGUCUCUAUUGCUUUGUGCUUGACUGAAUCAUUAUUAGUAAAAGAACUGCUUCCACUUGUGUUCAAGUUCUGUGUUUGUUUCACCUGGGGAAGUGGGUUGUGGGGUUAUUCACAAAUGGAGCUGUUCCAGAUAGCAUGUGGGACCAUUUGGUGGUACUCUGGGGGAGGCAUGGCAGGUGGAAAGGGGAGCAUCAAACUUCCCCUUGGAGUCACCUAUGUUGAGAAGACCACAGGUCAUCAGGCGUAUUCCUAGGCACUGAGAACUGCAAGGCGGAUUUCCUGGAUUUCCCUGAUGACCUCCUCUCCACCCAGAGAAAGAAAGGGGAUCCUGCCAUAUUCUGGUUACAUAAAAAAGCACUUUGUAAUGGUUCAAGUUGUUUAAGUAGGAAGUGGACCAUGGAGGAAGGAAGCGAAGUCCUUCGUGCUGGAAGUGUGUUAGCAAAUAUUGAUCAACUAAUUGGAAGGGAUAUUUGGGGUAGAGUAAGUUUAAACAUUGUUAGGGCGACCAGAAGUUCCCAAACUCAACUGCACAUCAAAAUCAGCUACUGAGCUAUUAAAAAUACAAAUGUCUGGGUCCCACCUCCAAGACUGGACACAUCAGAACAUCUGGAAGUAGAGGCAAAGAAUCUAAUUUUUUUUUUGAAGAAGAUAAGCGCCUCGCUAACAUCUGCCACUAAUCCUCCUCUUUUUGCUGAGGAAGACUGGUCCUGAGCUAACAUCCAUGUCCAUCUUCCUCUACUUUAUAUGUGGGACGCCUGCCACAGCAUGGCUUGACGAGCAGUGCAUAGGUCCACACUCAAGAUCUGAAGGGGCGAACCCCGGGUCACUGAAGCUGAACGUGCGAACCUAACUGCUGUGCCACUGAGCUGGCCCCAAGAAUCUGUAUAUUUUUUAACACAGUGAUUCUAAAACACAGCCACAUUUUAGACCCAGUGGACUAAGUGAACUUUAAGACAGAAAUCCAACUCUGAGAUUUUAUGUCUCACUUGAAAAGCAAGUGAUAUAUUGGAUCACUUUUUAAGCUCUAGUCCUUUAGUAUCUUGUAGGAAUUGGGUGAGUUUUACUGUGUGUUGAAAGACUGUCACAGUAAGAGUGGUUGCGUUUCAGUUACUACCUGCUGGGGCUGGCAGGUAGAGCUGUGAGUGACCUGGAGCGUGGGUUCCCAGAGACCUACAAAUAAGCUGAAAGAGGAUUCUGGAACCCUUCCUGGGACACUGAGAGCCAUGUACAUAACAACACCAUCUGGUACCAGUUUUCUUUCUUCCUUAUGUAGGCUGAUGUCAACAGUGAGAGAAAAAUGUAACAAUGAAGGCAAAGGUGUACAAGACAAACGAUGUAAUACAAGCAAUUCUUAACAUCAACUUUCCCAUAUUGAUGCCAGGCAAGCAAGGGGCAGAGGCCCAUACUAAUUGGCCAUUUUAUAAAUUGCCCCAGCAAAACCCUCCUCACUGAGGCUUAGUUUUAUACUUGUUACUAAAUAACCAAGGAAAGGCUUUUUAAAGACAGAUCCAGUGUGGACCCCAAAGUGACAGGGUAUAGUACUGGAUAGCAAGCUCUGGAGAUUAGCGCAUGGGGUUAAGGACUUGUUUUUGGACUCUUCUACACACUCACAUUGACCUUAGUCAUCUGGUUACAGCCCAACUUGCCUAUCAUUCUCUUGCCUCCAUGGAACCUCCUCUCCAAGCUAGCCUUCCUCAUCUACCACGUCUACUUCUCCCUUUCUAGAAAUGUUCAGUGGCUCUCUAUUGCUGAAAGGAUGAAGUUCAGCUGCUGAGUGUGGCAUGCAAGGCCCCAUGAUCUGCCCUCUGCUUGUCUCUCUAGAUUGAUCUUCU
ensembl:lncRNA